rnacentral:rRNA from 2 species
AACUUUCAACAACGGAUCUCUUGGCUCUCGCAUCGAUGAAGAACGCAGCGAAAUGCGAUAAGUAAUGUGAAUUGCAGAAUUCAGUGAAUCAUCGAAUCUUUGAACGCACCUUGCGCCCUCUGGUAUUCCGGAGGGCAUGCCUGUUUGAGUGUCAU